rnacentral:lncRNA from 1 species
UGAAUAUAUAGUUCAAUGAUUUUAAAUAGAUUUAUAGAGCUUUGCGACCAUCACCGCCAUCUAGUUUUAGAACAUUUCCGCCCCUGCAACAAUGUCCUUUUGCCCGUUAGCAAGUCAGUCCCUGCCCUCACCCUCAGCCCCAGGCAACCACGGAACUUUCUGUCUCUAUAGGUUUGCCUUUUCUGAACAUUUCGUAAAUGGAAUCGUACAAUACUUGGUCUUUUGCAUCUGACUUCUUUUAUGAGCAUAACUGUUUGGAGUUUCAUCCAUGCUGUAGGCUUCACGUCAUCCUUUAUAUGGCUAAUAUUCCAUUGCACAGAUGCGUUCCAUUUUGCUUAUCUGUUUACCAGUUGACGGACAUUUGAAUGUUUUCAGUUUGGGGCUAUUACAAAUAGCAUUGCCGUAAACAUUCACAGACAAGUCUUUAUUUGGGCUUGUGUUCGCCUGUCUCUUGGGUGAAUACCUCAAUCCUAACCUUUUAAACUGCUGUGGCAUCUUCCACCCGAAGGACGCACUCUGAUGUCCUAACCUUUCAAUGGAUACUUCGUGUUUCCGAAGUUUUGCUGUCACCAACCGUGCUGCUCUGAGCUUUCUCCCUCUUUGGGCGUGUGUACAAGGAGAGAGACGGCUGGGUCACAGGGUAGGGACAUUUCACAUUUGUUGAAUUGUUGCCAAGUGACAACAUGACAGUCUUGCGUCCUCUUCAAAGGAACAGGAAGAGAAACAAAAGCCACUGUGAAGAUAUCACCCCCAUACUGGUCCAUUGAGCCUGAGGGACUAAACAAGGAGGAGAAAGGCUGCUUCGGGGGAAAAGUCUCCAGGGUGCAGACUGGGCAGUCACAGGAUGGCUGAGACCAGGCAGGAGAAAGAAGAGGCUGGGAUGGGGACUAGAACCCUUCCUCUCAAGCUUCUCUUUUGCAGGCCUGUAAGAUAAUGAGCUCUCUGUCACUGGAGGUGUGUAAGUGGAGGCUAGCCAGCCAUUUGGCAGGGGCUGUAAAGGAGCUCUCGGAAUCUGAUGAGAAACCGAAACACAUGGCUUCUGAGGUAGCAGUGUGGCCGAGGAGUUAAGAAUGUGGGCUUCGCUGGCAGGGGCCCCUCGUUCAAACCUCGACUCUGCCAUUUCCUAGCUCUGUGACGCUGGAAGAGUAAAUUCAGCAAUCGCAGCCUCAAUUCUCGCAGCUGUAAAAGGAGAAGGUGACUCUACCUCUCGUAGUCUCUGGUGGGGGCAGGCCAAUGACAUCAUGUGGGUGGGGCUCAACUGUCAGGCCUAUGAUUAUGACUCCCUAAAUCCUGUGAUCGCGGGCUGUGCUGUCUGGGGACCCCAGGAAAUGGGCAUGAGAGAACAGUGAGGUGUGCCCAGUGGCUUCCAGAGAAGGAAUGGCCUCCACAACCCUCACAGCAUGGGACUCACAUCCAGGCUCUCCCUAUUUCCAGCCACGUGACCUCGGGCAAGGAUUUAAUCUGUGGCUCCAUGUCCUCAUCUGCACAACAGUAAUAAUACCAACUUCAGAGGGUUGUGGGGCAGCGAGGUUAAAUUUCAUGUGACAGAAAAUGGCAAAAUAACAGUGGCUAACCCAAGAGAGCCGUUUCUUUCUCUCACAUAAAAGAAGUCUAGAGGUGAGCAGGUAAGCGAUCCAGGGCUGGUGUGACAGCUCCAUGGAGUAGUUAGAAAUCUAGUUCCCAGCUCUUCUAACCUCUGAGUGUGGUCCUAGUCCUCAUGAUCCAGUAGGACAGCCAGAGAUCCAGCCAUCACAUCUGUAUUCAGAGAGCAGGAUGGAAGAGGAGGGGACAAGAGGGCAAAGAGUAUGAACCAGUCCUCAUAAGAAGGUUUCCCCAACUGUCACCUGACAGUUCCACUUACGUCUCAUUGACCAGAACUUUAUCAAGUGGCUACACUAGCUGCAGGGGAGAGGGGAACAGAUAUUGAGUAGACAGGGAACAGCUCUGUCCGUUCCUUCCAGACCCCAGGUAACCACUAUUCUGAUUCCUGUCACCAUAGAUUUAUCUUGCCUGUUCUAGAACUUUAUACAAAUGUCGUCACACAGAACCUUCUCUUGUAUCUGGCUUAUUUCAUUCAACAUUAUGUUCAUGGAUUCCUGAGCUUUUUGUUAUUUUUUUUUGAUCUCCUUCCUUCCAGAAGGAGAUGUUCGUCAACAUUCAGGCUUUCAUUAAUUUCUUCCAUCAUUGAGUCACUCAUUCAACAAAUAUUUCUUGAGCCCCUACUGUGUGCUGAAAGCUGGCCAAACACAGUCACCCAUGGCAAAGACUGGUGAACCCUGAGUCUCCUGAGAUGUCCUCUGACCCAAAUCUAUUUGGGCUCCAAAUUACGAUGGUGACAGCCCUUCUCUGAACUCCCUCAGCACCGAGUAGAAUCCCCGGUAGACAGAGGCCAAACAGCCUGGUGGUGGGGAGCUCAGGCUCUGACAGCCACAGACGGGCGCUUAGUAGGCGCUUAAUAAACAGCAGCUGCAACUAGUUCCUUGGCAUGGGAGCAUUGUAAGGAGCAGAGCCUUCCUCUUUCCUAAUCCUACUGGCCCUAUAAGGAUGAAUUAACAGAUGAAUCAAAUGGAAAAACGAACAAGGGCUUAUGUACAAGAAUUGAUAUCGACCCUGAUAUCAGUUUCCCCACAUUAAACCCAGCAUAUCUGGGGUUAAAACCAAAACACUCAUUCCCUGCUUACUCUCUGGCUUCCUGGCUCCAGAAUCCACUAUCCUCCAUGGAGACAGACACCGUCAAGGACAAGCACCUGGACUAUCUCCUCCCGCAAAGAGAUAUGGGCUGGUGGGAAAGCUGCUGACCAGCAAGGUCAUGGGCUCCCUUCUCUCUGCAAGUGUCUCAAGGCCGAAGACAGGCUGGUGGGAAAGCUCCAACCAGCAAGGCCAUAUGCUCCCCCUCCCCUACCUAAAACCCCAAAUAAAAACCCUUCCUUUUAGCUUUUCGGGGAGUUUGGGAUUUGAGCAUUAGCUGCCCUCUCUCCUUGCUCAGCGCUGUGCAAAAAUAAAAUCCCUACUUUCUUCCACCACACCCGGUGUCAGAGAUUGGCUUGCUGCGCAACGGCCCUGAGCUAACUACUGCCAAUUCUCCUCUUUUUGCUGAGGAAGACUGGCCCUGAGCUAACAUCCAUGCCCAUCUUCCUCUACUUUAUACGUGGGACGCCUACCACAGCAUGACUUUUGCCAAGUGGUGCCAUGUCCGCAACCAGGAUCUGAACCAGCGAACCCCGGGCCGCAGAGAAGUGAAAUGUGCAAACUUAACUGCUGUGCCACUGGGCCAGCCCUCUAAGUUUUAGAAAUGAUAAAUUAUGUGUAAAUUUAACGAAUCCAAACAAUAUAGAACGAUAUGUGGGUAAGCAUUAAAAGUAACAGUCUGUCCUGCAG